UGGGGAAUCUUGCACAAUGGGGGCAACCCUGAUGCAGCGACGCCGCGUGAGCGAUGAAGCCCUUCGGGGCGUAAAGCUCUUUCGACCGGAACGAUAAUGACGGUACCGGGAGAAGAAGCUGCGGCUAACUACGUGCCAGCAGCCGCGGUAAUACGUAGGCAGCAAGCGUUGUUCGGAGUUACUGGGCGUAAAGAGUGCGUAGGCGGUUUUCUAAGUUCGGUGUGAAAUCUCCCGGCUUAACUGGGAGGGUGCGCCGAAGACUGGGAAGCUGGAGUGUGGGAAAGGCAGGCGGAAUUCCUGGUGUAGCGGUGAAAUGCGUAGAUAUCAGGAGGAACACCUGCGGUGUAGACGGCUUGCUAGACCAUAACUGACGCUGAGGCACGAAAGCGUGGGUAGCAAACG
rnacentral:rRNA from 1 species